rnacentral:tRNA from 1 species
GGCAGGUUGCCCGAGCGGCCAAUGGGAGCGGACUGUAAAUCCGUCGGCGAAAGCCUACACAAGUUCGAAUCUUGUACCUGCCACCC